GCAAAAUGUUCUUUUCUGGCGCUUGCCAAUGAAAAAGUAAGGACAUUUGUGAGGCACCCACAGAAAAGG
rnacentral:sRNA from 1 species